rnacentral:rRNA from 1 species
CCACCAGACUCCUACGGGAGGCAGCAGUGGGGAAUAUUGCACAAUGGGGGAAACCCUGAUGCAGCGACGCCGCGUGAGCGAUGAAGUCUUUCGGUAUGUAAAGCUCUAUCAGCAGGGAAGAAGAUGACGGUACCUGACUAAGAAGCCCCGGCUAACUACGUGCCAGCAGCCGCGGUAAUACGUAGGGGGCAAGCGUUAUCCGGAUUUACUGGGUGUAAAGGGAGCGUAGACGGCGGUGCAAGCCAGAUGUGAAAGCCCGGGGCUCAACCCCGGGACUGCAUUUGGAACUGUAUGGCUGGAGUGUCGGAGAGGCAGGCGGAAUUCCUAGUGUAGCGGUGAAAUGCGUAGAUAUUAGGAGGAACACCAGUGGCGAAGGCGGCCUGCUGGACGAUGACUGACGUUGAGGCUCGAAAGCGUGGGGAGCAAACAGGAUUAGAUACCCCAGUACA